GAUGUAUAGUUGUUAAUUGGGCCUUUGCCAUGAUGGGUGCGCUCGCUUGGCAGGUCUCCUACAUUUUCUAAUAAAAAAAAGAUACGUUUUUGGUUUUUGGGAGGAGAUCGCACGGUGUUUUUUAAAGCCGGGUUCUCCUCCCAAUGUGUGUGUGCGUGUGUGCUCGUUGUGCUGUGACUUGUUGUGUUGUGCUAUGUAUGUUUUGGUUGCUUUAUUGUCGUUGCUUUAGUUUACAAAACAAAUCACGACAGCAAACGCCAGCUUGCUAACAUGAUGGAAUAAGGAACCGUAAUAGUAAAAAAGUACAUUCUUUUUACUUUAAUUAUGAGGAGAGGACGGGCGAUCGGGAUAUUAAUCUAUUGGAAGCCUUUGAUGCUAUCAAUGGAUGCAUACAUCCUAGAUUUAUAAAAAAGAAACAAAUCUCUAAUCAUUAUUUGAAGGAUCUGUCAACAUCGGUCUAGAGUCGAAAAGUCUCUUGAUUUUAUGAUGAGUAGGAUGGAUGGGAUGUUAUAUUUCAGAUAUGAAGUUGAUUGAUUGAGUCAUUAGUUGGAAGGAAGCUUCUCGAUGACUUAUUGAUGAAAAAGGUUGCAGCUUGGAGUUUGCAAAACAGGUUUGUAUCUAUGUAUGUAUAGAGGGUGAUAUAUGUCAUGUAUAGUUGUUAAUUGGGCCUUUGCCAUGAUGGGUGCGCUCGCUUGGCAGGUCUCACCACAUUCUCUAAUAAAAAAGAUACGUUUUUGGUUUUUGGGAGGAGAUCGCACGGUGUUUUUUUAGGCCGGGUUCUCCUCCCAAUGUGUGUGUUUGUGUGCGUGUGUGUGUUAUGCCGUGUAUGUUUUUGGUUGCUUUCUUGUCAUUGCUUUUGUGUACAAAACAAAUCAUGGCAGCUGCAUCAACAAAACCCCAGCUUGCAAACACGAAGGGAUAAGGAACCGUAAUAGGAAAAAGUGAUUCUACACUAUCUCCCCUGCUACGACCAAUUAUUUGAUGGAUCUCAAAGAAGUCUCAAGAUUAAGAUUUUGUCAGCUAAUGUCUUCCUUACUCCAUCAGUGGUGGUUUUCGAUCUAUGUCUCAGAUAAAAUAUGGCGUAACAUUGGUCUGCAGCUGAAAUGUAUCUUGAUUUGGUGGGAAUGAAAAUUGUGGUUUUGUUCUGCUGCUCAUCAGGCUCAGCAUGGGCUCUAAGCUGAAGUGUCUCUUUGGUGGGGAUUGGAGUUAGUUUUAUAGAUGAAAUCGAUUGGUUCCUUCUGGAAGGAUGGUUGACGCUGAUGAUGAUUUAUUGAUGAAAGAACAAAUUGUACCUUGAAGUUGGCAAACGGGGCUGUAUGUACGUAUACAUGUAAAGUCUGUCACCUUAUGGAGGUAUUGGAUGUCAUUGUCGUUAAUUGGGCCUUUGCCAUGAUGGGUGCGCUCGCAUGGCAGGUUCCAUCACAUUCUCUAAUAAAAAAAUAUUUUGGUUUUGGGAGGAGAUUGUACGGUGUUUUGUUUUGCCGGCUUCCCCUCCCAGUGUGUGUGUGUGUGUGUGUUCGUGCCUCGUCUCUUUUCUCUGCGUGUGUUGUGUUUUGGCCGUCCAUGUUUCAAGUCGUUUAAAAAGCAUAACAUGACUGCAUCAACAAGCAUCCAGCCUGCAAUCACAAGGAGUUAGUAACCCAACAUUCAAAAGCUCGUAGAUGUAUGAUGAUACUUGUUACAGAGUGUGGUUUCCAUAUCUAUAAGAAUGAAGGAGUAUGAAGCAUGGGCAACAGCAAAUGAUGAUGUUUUUUAAUGAAGGUGUAGCCUGGAGGCUAUAUAUAGGAAGGCAUAGACUUGCUUGAGAUCCAACUGAUGCUUGAAGCUGCCGUUCAUGUCUCAAGUCAAGAGUGGCCAAUAACAAAGGUUGUUCGUAUCUUGAAGUUGGUGGAUGCUGCAGGGCGAUAUAUGAUGAAAAUGCAGACUUAUUUGAAGAACCAGAUAUUGAAGCUAGUCAUGAUUUUACUGCGUGAUAUAAAUCGUACACAAGUAAAUAUGGGUCCCAACUUUCAAGCUUUAAUUUUAUUUUAAUUUGCUACGUGGAAGAUACUUUUCUGUGGCUUCUAAUUCAAUUUUUGGCAAUGGUCAUCUUUUUUGAUGAUUGGCAUCAUACUCUUCUGAAUUUUGUUCCUACAUCUUUGAGAAUGCUUAUAAGUUUUAAAUGAAUUUAAAAAUCUUGUGAAUCAA